rnacentral:tRNA from 1 species
CCCAGAUGACUCAGAUGGUAAAGAGUCUGCCUGCAAUGCAGAAGACCUGGGUUCGAUCCCUGGAUCAAGAA